GACGAACGCUGGCGGCGCGCCUAACACAUGCAAGUCGAACGAGCGAGAGAGAGCUUGCUUUCUUGAGCGAGUGGCGAACGGGUGAGUAACGCGUGAGGAACCUGCCUCAAAGAGGGGGACAACAGUUGGAAACGACUGCUAAUACCGCAUAAGCCCACGGUGCCGCAUGGCACAGAGGGAAAAGGAGCAAUCCGCUUUGAGAUGGCCUCGCGUCCGAUUAGCUAGUUGGUGAGGUAACGGCCCACCAAGGCGACGAUCGGUAGCCGGACUGAGAGGUUGAACGGCCACAGUGGGACUGAGACACGGCCCAGACUCCUACGGGAGGCAGCAGUGGGGAAUAUUGCACAAUGGGGGAAACCCUGAUGCAGCGACGCCGCGUGGAGGAAGAAGGUCUUCGGAUUGUAAACUCCUGUUGUUGGGGAAGAUAAUGACGGUACCCAACAAGGAAGUGACGGCUAACUACGUG
rnacentral:rRNA from 1 species